GACGGCGGCCGGCUGGGCCAGAAAGCCUUCUCUGACUGGAGCUCCUGGCUGGCGUCGAGGCCGUGGUCCUCGAGGGCCGCACGAGGGUCCCCGGAAACGCUCAGUCCCUUCCCCAGCCCCUCGAGGUGGCAGCCCAGAGUGUGGGCAAUGUGCGGAGGACAGCAGCUAUUCCGGGAGGAAGAAGAUGGGUCCCAAGCCGAGGACGGGGAGCCUCUGCCCCAAGUGCGCCCCCAGCCUCAUCAUCACGGGAGAAACAGGCCCCUGCUUCCUUCGUGCUGCUGAUGACACCGUUCCCAGCAGAUAACAACCCCUGUGCGCCUCAGGAUGGAACCAUCACACUGCCCUGGGCUCCUAGGAGAUCGACUCCGGCGUGAGACUUGUAACAGCCUCCCAAGGUAUUUGACGCCAAGAAGGAGUGGCAGAGAAAAAAGCAAAAGCAAACCGUGAGUGUUGUCUCCGCCAGUCACAUCUUCAGUGAAGGACGGGUUUGCCACCCCUCCUGGGAACGGCAGAGCCCACGCACGCUCUGUCCCCAAGGGAGGGGGCGUCUCCACACCCCGGGCUCGCCACCUGGCAGUGCGCUCCCUCCUCUCUCGCCAAACCUUACCCUGCUCUCCGUCAUUCAUUCAUUCAACAAUCUUUGCUUCCAACGUCAAGGCAACAUGCCAGGCCCUGGGGACACCAUACAAUUAGAUUCAGUUGCUAAGGACAGAAAGCCCCAAUAACGUCGGCUGAGACAAAAUCGGUGUUUGCUUCUGAUGUUGCACACUCGAGUCCAGGCGGGCAAUAGGGCUGCAAAGGUGACCUCAUGGUCACCAGGACCCCAGAUUCCUUUAAUCGGGUUGCUCCCGUGACCCUCAGAUAAGAUCUUCUGCCUUGCGGCCGUCAUGUCUGCUCUCCAGCCUGCAGGAAGAACGGGAGCCUGGAGAGGCAUGUAUAGGCACGCUCCCACCCCGGUCCUGCCCUUGUGAGGACACCUCCCCGAUCCCCACCCUCUUGGCCAGAGCCGGGUCCCUUGUCGCGGCAGGGGAGGCUAGGAAGUGCCUUCAUCCUGGGGCCUCGGUUCCCAGCUGCCCUCGGAGCCCUUGUGCCUAAUACGAGGCGGGGGUGGCUCCCCUAGCAGUCGCCGUCAGGACACGGCCUCUGACACGGUGCUCACAGUCUGGCAGCCACGAAUGGGCACUGGGAACCUGAGUGGUGGCCAUGCGGGAGCAGAACGGGGGUCUUGGGGAGCAAGAGGCCCCCCCCCAACAGAGAGGCUGGCAUAGGGAAGGCUUGAGGGGUAGCGAUUCCGGGAGGGGGCUGCGGGUGUCCGGAGGUAGGCGAGGAGCCUGGGGACAUCCCCGUAGGGCUGUCACACGCUCCUCUGUGCCCACGUCCUGACCCCUGCAGCCACCGCCGACUGCAGAACCCCUGCCCUCCACCACCGCUUCUGAUGCACAUCCCCCAGGUGGGAGGGGCACACGGGGCCACGUCACCCCGGCCACAGCAGACACACGGACUGUGGACGCGGCCCUGCCACUCCCUCUCUUCACGGUCGGUGGCACACGGCUCAGCCUUCUCACGCCGGCACCUGUUUGUGCGGUAGACCCCGGCCCCCUUAGGGUGGCACCAGGGACCUUGGCCCGACACCCAGGCGGCCAGCGACAGCUCGUGGUGAGAAGGAGUGAGCAGGAGGUAAGCCCGGGAGGGGGCAGGAGAGGCGCCGUGGCCGGGACACUUCCGACGCUCAUCUCUGUCCCCCUGGAAGCGGCACGGUUCCCAGCCUCCUGGCGGUGCGGUGGCUCCCGGUGGCCCCCAGACACAGGACCCUGAGCAGAGGCAGGGCUCAGCCUCUCCGGGCCUCAUGCUGACGCACCGGCCACAGGAGGGAGAGGACGGGCAAUUGGCUUUCUUAGGGGGUGACUGAUUUCGGGGCGACAAAGGUUGGGUUGCAGGAGGUGGACAGAGGCAAGGGCACCGCCCUCUGCAGGACCCGGGCUUUCACCUUUCUGAGCCCAGGCCGCACCUGCGGGUUUGGGGGCAGGUGCAUCAGGCCGCCACCAUCUCCCAGGGACUCGGUAAGC